UACGUAGGGGGCUAGCGUUGUCCGGAUUUAUUGGGCGUAAAGAGCGUGUAGGCGGCCAUGUAGGUCCGGUGUGAAAACUCGAGGCUUAACCUCGAGAUGUCAUCGGAAACCAUCUGGCUAGAGUCCGGAAGAGGAAAGUGGAAUUCCCGGUGUAGCGGUGAAAUGCGCAGAUAUCGGGAGGAACACCAAUGGCGAAGGCAGCUCACUGGGACGGUAUUGACGCUGAGACGCGAAAGCGUGGGGAGCAAACAGG
rnacentral:rRNA from 1 species